UGUUGUGAUGAUAAGGAGUAAUAGGAAGUGCCGUCAGAAGCGAUAACUGACGACGUGUCUACUUGAUCUGAUU
rfam:Cavia porcellus supercont2_61 genomic scaffold, whole genome shotgun sequence.